rnacentral:rRNA from 1 species
CCUACGGGAGGCAGCAGUGGGGAAUCUUGCGCAAUGGGCGGAAGCCUGACGCAGCAACGCCGCGUGCGGGAAGAAGGCCUUAGGGUCGUAAACCGCUUUCAGGGGGGACGAAGCUUCCGGGGUUAAUAGCCUACGGGGUGACGGUACUCCCAAAAGAAGGUCCGGCUAACUACGUGCCAGCAGCCGCGGUAAUACGUAGGGACCGAGCGUUGUCCGGAAUCAUUGGGCGUAAAGAGCGUGUAGGCGGCCUAGUAGGUCUCGUGUGAAAUCCCGCGGCUCAACCGCGGACACGCACGGGAAACCCCUAGGCUCGAGUCCGGAAGAGGAGAGCGGAAUUCCUGGUGUAGCGGUGAAAUGCGCAGAUAUCAGGAAGAACACCCGUAGCGAAGGCGGCUCUCUGGGACGGUACUGACGCUGAGACGCGAAAGCGUGGGGAGCAAACAGGAUUAGAUACCCUGGUAGUCCACGCCGUAAACGAUGGAUGCUAGGUGUGGGAGGUGUCGACUCCUCCCGUGCCGAAGCUAACGCAUUAAGCAUCCCGCCUGGGGAGUACGGCCGCAAGGCUAAAACUCAAAUGAAUUGACGG